rnacentral:lncRNA from 1 species
UAUUUUUCCAGGUGGAUAUUCCUGUUAAUAAUAUAUUUUCUUUUAAAUUGUACUUUCCCAGUUUCCCCUGCCCCUGGAGCCCGUCCAGCAUCCUGGAACUACUUCCCCCCUUAUUUGGAGAUGGAUAGUAAUGGUUCAGCAUCUAUUUCAGAGCCUUUGAACCAAUCCCAACUGAGCUCAGAAUUGGAGCUUGGGAUAUAUGUCUUACAAACUGGAGCCAUCCGUUUGUGUCAACAUUAUUUUUUUUUUUAACCAGUUUUAACCUAAGUCCUAUUUCUAGAGCUUUCAUACACAUUUCAUGUACAUUGCUAUUAUUUCUAAUUAAGUACAAGGGAAUGGUGUAGAAAAAACAAAGAACAAAGGGUAAAUGUUGAAAUCAUAUUUUUUUAAAAAGCUGAACAGCCAUAUUAUUAUAUACAAAGCUGCCAAGGUAUAAGUAGAAACAGCUAUGGUAUAGUUGUCAUAGCUACAUUGCAAGAGCUUCAGAUGAGGUACAUUUAUUGGGAUAAAAAUAACCAGAAUAUGCUGAUGUGGUUAGUGUAUGUUGGGC